GGGAUUAUAUUGUAAAACUAAAAGCUAAUGGUUUAAAACUAGUGCGGUUGAAAAUUAAGGACAAAGCAUCUAAAUUAGCCUAUGUACAACUAUACUAGAUUACCAUCACGCGAACCCUACAAAUCUGUCGUAGCACGAGGACCUUAAAACAAACUAUCAAUUUUUUAGCUGCUACUAAGAGCCGCUCGAAAACGGUGGUGCAUUUAUUAAGGUAAAUCC